UGGCGGCGCGCUUAAACAUGCAAGUCGAGCGAGAAAGGGGCAACCUGAGUACAGCGGCGUACGGGUGAGUAACACGUGGGUAAUCUACCUCUUAGUGGGGAAUAACCCUGGGAAACCGGGGCUAAUACCGCAUAAGCCUGAGAAGGGAAAGCAGCAAUGCGCUGAGAGAGGAGCCCGCGGCCGAUUAGCAAGUUGGUGAGGUAACGGCUCACCAAGGCGAUGAUCGGUAGCCGGCCUGAGAGGGCACACGGCCACACUGGCACUGAAACACGGGCCAGACCCCUACGGGAGGCAGCAGUGGGGAAUCUUGCACAAUGGAGGCAACUCUGAUGCAGCGACGCCGCGUGAGCGAUGAAGCCCUUCGGGGUGUAAAGCUCUUUCGGCAGGGACGAUAAUGACGGUACCUGAAGAAGAAGCUGCGGCUAACUACGUGCCAGCAGCCGCGGUAAUACGUANGCAGCGAGCGUUGUUCGGAAUUACUGGGCGUAAAGAGUGUGUANGCGGUGCUCUAAAGUUCGGUGUGAAAUCUCCUGGCUUAACUGG
rnacentral:rRNA from 1 species